GCUCGAACUCCGACUAAUUCCGCUUUAUUUUUGAAGACUUAUAUACAACCUACCAGUAUAUGUAGAUUUGUAAUUGUACCUAGUUUUGUACAGUUGUUGCCUCGAAGAUAUUUAUCUACCAUCCAAUCUGUCGUGUAAGAAAUGAUCCGACAGUUUUAUUGACGAUUAUAAGUCAAAAUCUCCAUACCGCAAGUCAUGCACCACGGGUCACGCAACUUACUUAGAAGAGAAGAUUUUGAUGCUCCGGCUCAGAAACACGUCAGAUGGUGAGUUCCCAGAACGUGCAUGUACUUAAUUUUGUUGGCUGCAGCAACACAUUUUUGACAAGCCCCGUAUCAAAUUAUCAAUAAGUUCGUGCGGCGAGGACUAGGCCAGAUCAUCAACGCUGUGGCUUUUGCCACCACAAACUUUUCUUAAUGCAUUAUCCAUACAUUUGUACUCCUGCG
rnacentral:lncRNA from 1 species